rnacentral:rRNA from 1 species
AUUGAACGCUGGCGGCAGGCCUAACACAUGCAAGUCGAGCGGAUGACGGGAGCUUGCUCCCUGAUUCAGCGGCGGACGGGUGAGUAAUGCCUAGGAAUCUGCCUGGUAGUGGGGGACAACGUUUCGAAAGGAACGCUAAUACCGCAUACGUCCUACGGGAGAAAGCAGGGGACCUUCGGGCCUUGCGCUAUCAGAUGGGCCUAGGUCGGAUUAGCUCGUAGGUGAGGUAAUGGCUCACCUAGGCGACGAUCCGUAACUGGUCUGAGAGGAGGAUCAGUCCAACUGGAACUGAGAAACGGUCCAGACUCCUACGGGAGGCAGCAGUGGGGAAUAUUGGACAAUGGGCGAAAGCCUGAUCCAGCCAUGCCGCGUGUGUGAAGAAGGUCUUCGGAUUGUAAAGCACUUUAAGUUGGGAGGAAGGGCAGUAAGCUAAUACCUUGCUGUUUUGACGUUACCGACAGAAUAAGCACCGGCUAACUCUGUGCCAGCCGCCGCAGUAACAC